UUAAGCGACUAAGCGUACACGGUGGAUGCCCUGGCAGUCAGAGGCGAUGAAGGACGUGCUAAUCUGCGAUAAGCGUCGGUAAGGUGAUAUGAACCGUUAUAACCGGCGAUUUCCGAAUGGGGAAACCCAGUGUGUUUCGACACACUAUCAUUAACUGAAUCCAUAGGUUAAUGAGGCGAACCGGGGGAACUGAAACAUCUAAGUACCCCGAGGAAAAGAAAUCAACCGAGAUUCCCCCAGUAGCGGCGAGCGAACGGGGAGCAGCCCAGAGCCUGAAUCAGUGUGUGUGUUAGUGGAAGCGUCUGGAAAGGCGCGCGAUACAGGGUGACAGCCCCGUACACAAAAAUGCACAUGCUGUGAGCUCGAUGAGUAGGGCGGGACACGUGGUAUCCUGUCUGAAUAUGGGGGGACCAUCCUCCAAGGCUAAAUACUCCUGACUGACCGAUAGUGAACCAGUACCGUGAGGGAAAGGCGAAAAGAACCCCGGCGAGGGGAGUGAAAAAGAACCUGAAACCGUGUACGUACAAGCAGUGGGAGCCUCUCUUUAUGGGGGGUGACUGCGUACCUUUUGUAUAAUGGGUCAGCGACUUAUAUUCUGUAGCAAGGUUAACCGAAUAGGGGAGCCGAAGGGAAACCGAGUCUUAACUGGGCGUUAAGUUGCAGGGUAUAGACCCGAAACCCGGUGAUCUAGCCAUGGGCAGGUUGAAGGUUGGGUAACACUAACUGGAGGACCGAACCGACUAAUGUUGAAAAAUUAGCGGAUGACUUGUGGCUGGGGGUGAAAGGCCAAUCAAACCGGGAGAUAGCUGGUUCUCCCCGAAAGCUAUUUAGGUAGCGCCUCGUGAAUUCAUCUCCGGGGGUAGAGCACUGUUUCGGCAAGGGGGUCAUCCCGACUUACCAACCCGAUGCAAACUGCGAAUACCGGAGAAUGUUAUCACGGGAGACACACGGCGGGUGCUAACGUCCGUCGUGAAGAGGGAAACAACCCAGACCGCCAGCUAAGGUCCCAAAGUCAUGGUUAAGUGGGAAACGAUGUGGGAAGGCCCAGACAGCCAGGAUGUUGGCUUAGAAGCAGCCAUCAUUUAAAGAAAGCGUAAUAGCUCACUGGUCGAGUCGGCCUGCGCGGAAGAUGUAACGGGGCUAAACCAUGCACCGAAGCUGCGGCAGCGACGCUGAUGCGUUGUUGGGUAGGGGAGCGUUCUGUAAGCCUGCGAAGGUGUGCUGUGAGGCAUGCUGGAGGUAUCAGAAGUGCGAAUGCUGACAUAAGUAACGAUAAAGCGGGUGAAAAGCCCGCUCGCCGGAAGACCAAGGGUUCCUGUCCAACGUUAAUCGGGGCAGGGUGAGUCGACCCCUAAGGCGAGGCCGAAAGGCGUAGUCGAUGGGAAACAGGUUAAUAUUCCUGUACUUGGUGUUACUGCGAAGGGGGGACGGAGAAGGCUAUGUUGGCCGGGCGACGGUUGUCCCGGUUUAAGCGUGUAGGCUGGUUUUCCAGGCAAAUCCGGAAAAUCAAGGCUGAGGCGUGAUGACGAGGCACUACGGUGCUGAAGCAACAAAUGCCCUGCUUCCAGGAAAAGCCUCUAAGCAUCAGGUAACAUCAAAUCGUACCCCAAACCGACACAGGUGGUCAGGUAGAGAAUACCAAGGCGCUUGAGAGAACUCGGGUGAAGGAACUAGGCAAAAUGGUGCCGUAACUUCGGGAGAAGGCACGCUGAUAUGUAGGUGAAGUCCCUCGCGGAUGGAGCUGAAAUCAGUCGAAGAUACCAGCUGGCUGCAACUGUUUAUUAAAAACACAGCACUGUGCAAACACGAAAGUGGACGUAUACGGUGUGACGCCUGCCCGGUGCCGGAAGGUUAAUUGAUGGGGUUAGCGCAAGCGAAGCUCUUGAUCGAAGCCCCGGUAAACGGCGGCCGUAACUAUAACGGUCCUAAGGUAGCGAAAUUCCUUGUCGGGUAAGUUCCGACCUGCACGAAUGGCGUAAUGAUGGCCAGGCUGUCUCCACCCGAGACUCAGUGAAAUUGAACUCGCUGUGAAGAUGCAGUGUACCCGCGGCAAGACGGAAAGACCCCGUGAACCUUUACUAUAGCUUGACACUGAACAUUGAGCCUUGAUGUGUAGGAUAGGUGGGAGGCUUUGAAGUGUGGACGCCAGUCUGCAUGGAGCCGACCUUGAAAUACCACCCUUUAAUGUUUGAUGUUCUAACGUGGACCCGUAAUCCGGGUUGCGGACAGUGUCUGGUGGGUAGUUUGACUGGGGCGGUCUCCUCCUAAAGAGUAACGGAGGAGCACGAAGGUUGGCUAAUCCUGGUCGGACAUCAGGAGGUUAGUGCAAUGGCAUAAGCCAGCUUGACUGCGAGCGUGACGGCGCGAGCAGGUGCGAAAGCAGGUCAUAGUGAUCCGGUGGUUCUGAAUGGAAGGGCCAUCGCUCAACGGAUAAAAGGUACUCCGGGGAUAACAGGCUGAUACCGCCCAAGAGUUCAUAUCGACGGCGGUGUUUGGCACCUCGAUGUCGGCUCAUCACAUCCUGGGGCUGAAGUAGGUCCCAAGGGUAUGGCUGUUCGCCAUUUAAAGUGGUACGCGAGCUGGGUUUAGAACGUCGUGAGACAGUUCGGUCCCUAUCUGCCGUGGGCGCUGGAGAACUGAGGGGGGCUGCUCCUAGUACGAGAGGACCGGAGUGGACGCAUCACUGGUGUUCGGGUUGUCAUGCCAAUGGCACUGCCCGGUAGCUAAAUGCGGAAGAGAUAAGUGCUGAAAGCAUCUAAGCACGAAACUUGCCCCGAGAUGAGUUCUCCCUGACCCUUUAAGGGUCCUGAAGGAACGUUGAAGACGACGACGUUGAUAGGCCGGGUGUGUAAGCGCAGCGAUGCGUUGAGCUAACCGGUACUAAUGAACCGUGAGGCUUAACCU
rnacentral:rRNA from 1 species